rnacentral:rRNA from 1 species
UACGGGGGGGGCAAACGUUGUUCGGAAUUACUGGGCGUAAAGGGCUCGUAGGCGGCCAACUAAGUCAGACGUGAAAUCCCUCGGCUUAACCGGGGAACUGCGUCUGAUACUGGAUGGCUUGAAUCCGGGAGAGGGAUGCGGAAUUCCAGGUGUAGCGGUGAAAUGCGUAGAUAUCUGGAGGAACACCGGUGGCGAAGGCGGCAUCCUGGACCGGUAUUGACGCUGAGGAGCGAAAGCCAGGGGAGCAAACGGG